UGCUUGGAGAGUUUGAUCCUGGCUCAGAACGAACGCUGGUGGCGUGCCUAAUACAUGCAAGUCGAACGAGAAAGUCCUUCGGGAUGAGUAGAGUGGCGCACGGGUGAGUAACACGUAGGUAACGUGCCUAUUAGUGGGGGAUAACACAGGGAAACCUGUGCUAAUACCGCAUGUGAAAGUAAUUUCAAAGGUGGCGUAAGCUAUCGCUAAUAGAACGGCCUGCGGCGUAUUAGCUAGUUGGUGGGGUAAUGGCCUACCAAGGCGACGAUACGUAACUGGUCUGAGAGGAUGAUCAGUCACACUGGAACUGAGACACGGUCCAGACUCCUACGGGAGGCAGCAGUAGGGAAUAUUGCGCAAUGGGGGAAACCCUGACGCAGCAACGCCACGUGAGUGAGGAAGGUCUUCGGAUUGUAAAGCUCUGUCCUUAGGGAAAAAUGGUCAUGAACCUAAUAGCUCAUGGCUUGAUGGUACCUAAGAAGAAAGCACCGGCUAACUUCGUGCCAGCAGCCGCGGUAAUACGAAGGGUGCAAGCGUUGUUCGGAUUUAUUGGGCGUAAAGCGCGCGCAGGCGGAUGAGAAAGUCAGGUGUGAAAUCUCGGGGCUUAACCCCGAAAUUGCGCCUGAAACUGUUUAUCUAGAAUAUUGGAGGGGAUAGGGGAAUUUCUCAUGUAGGGGUAAAAUCCGUAGAUAUGAGAAGGAACACCGGAGGCGAAGGCGCCUAUCUGGCCAAUUAUUGACGCUGAGGCGCGAAAGCGUGGGGAGCAAACAGGAUUAGAUACCCUGGUAGUCCACGCCGUAAACGAUGAGUACUAGUUAUGGGGGGUAUAUUGACUCCCUCUGUGACGCAGCUAACGCUUUAAGUACUCCGCCUGGGAAGUACGGUCGCAAGACUAAAACUCAAAGGAAUUGACGGGGGCCCGCACAAGCGGUGGAUUAUGUGGUUUAAUUCGAAGCAACGCGCAAAACCUUACCUAGGCUUGAACUCCUGUGAACUCGGGGUAAUGCUCGAGGUGCCCUUCGGGGAAUACAGAGAGAGGUGCUGCAUGGCUGUCGUCAGCUCGUGUUGUGAAAUGUUGGGUUAAGUCUCGCAACGAGCGCAACCCCUAUCCUUAGUUGCCAGCAUUAAGUUGGGCACUCUAGGGAGACUGCCUGGGUUAACCAGGAGGAAGGUGGGGAUGACGUCAAGUCCUCAUGGCCCUUAUGUCUAGGGCUACACACGUAAUACAAUGGCGCGCACAAAGGGAAGCGAACUCGCAAGGGGGAGCAAAUCUCAAAAAGCGCGUCUCAGUCCGGAUUGAAGUCUGCAACUCGACUUCAUGAAGUUGGAAUCGCUAGUAAUCGCGGAUCAGAACGCCGCGGUGAAUACGUUCCCGGGCCUUGUACACACCGCCCGUCACACCAUGGGAGUUGUUUUCAUCUUAAGACGUAACUCUAACUUCGGAGGAGAGCGUCUACGGUGGGAGCGAUGACUGGGGUGAAGUCGUAACAAGGUAGCCGUAGGGGAACCUGCGGCUGGAUCACCUCCUUU
rnacentral:rRNA from 1 species